UACGGAGGUUGCAAGCGUUAUCCGGAUUUAUUGGGUUUAAAGGGUGCGUAGGCGGAACGAUAAGUCAGUGGUGAAAACCUGCAGCUUAACUGUAGAACUGCCAUUGAUACUGUCGUCCUUGAGUAUAGUUGAGGUGGGCGGAAUGUGUAAUGUAGCGGUGAAAUGCUUAGAUAUUACACAGAACACCAAUUGCGUAGGCAGCUCACUAAACUGUAACUGACGCUGAGGCACGAAAGCGUGGGGAG
rnacentral:rRNA from 1 species